UUAGUGGGCGAACGGGUGAGUAACACGUGAGUAACCUGCCCUUGACUCUGGGAUAAGCCUGGGAAACUGGGUCUAAUACCGGAUAUGACUGUCUGACGCAUGUCAGGUGGUGGAAAGCUUUUGUGGUUUUGGAUGGACUCGCGGCCUAUCAGCUUGUUGGUGGGGUAAUGGCCUACCAAGGCGACGACGGGUAGCCGGCCUGAGAGGGUGACCGGCCACACUGGGACUGAGACACGGCCCAGACUCCUACGGGAGGCAGCAGUGGGGAAUAUUGCACAAUGGGCGCAAGCCUGAUGCAGCGACGCCGCGUGAGGGAUGACGGCCUUCGGGUUGUAAACCUCUUUCAGUAGGGAAGAAGCGAAAGUGACGGUACCUGCAGAAGAAGCGCCGGCUAACUACGUGCCAGCAGCCGCGGUAAUACGUAGGGCGCAAGCGUUAUCCGGAAUUAUUGGGCGUAAAGAGCUCGUAGGCGGUUUGUCGCGUCUGCUGUGAAAGACCGGGGCUCAACUCCGGUUCUGCAGUGGGUACGGGCAGACUAGAGUGCAGUAGGGGAGACUGGAAUUCCUGGUGUAGCGGUGAAAUGCGCAGAUAUCAGGAGGAACACCGAUGGCGAAGGCAGGUCUCUGGGCUGUAACUGACGCUGAGGAGCGAAAGCAUGGGGAGCGAACAGGAUUAGAUACCCUGGUAGUCCAUGCCGUAAACGUUGGGCACUAGGUGUGGGGGACAUUCCACGUUUUCCGCGCCGUAGCUAACGCAUUAAGUGCCCCGCCUGGGGAGUACGGCCGCAAGGCUAAAACUCAAAGGAAUUGACGGGGGCCCGCACAAGCGGCGGAGCAUGCGGAUUAAUUCGAUGCAACGCGAAGAACCUUACCAAGGCUUGACAUGAACCGGUAAUACCUGGAAACAGGUGCCCCGCUUGCGGUCGGUUUACAGG
rnacentral:rRNA from 1 species